rnacentral:rRNA from 1 species
CGCGUAGGCGGGUUCUCCAGUCAGGGGUGAAAUCUUUCGGCUCAACCGGAAAAGUGCCCCUGAUACUGAGAGUCUCGAGGGAGGUAGGGGCAUGUGGAACUUCCGGUGGAGCGGCGAAAUGCGUAGAUAUCGGAAGGAACGCCGGUGGCGAAAGCGACGUGCUGGACCUCUUCUGACGCUGAGGCGCGAAAGCCAGGGGAGCAAACG